GCAUAAACUGCGAAAUACUUUAAAUCAAAACUGUGAAACCACCAGGAAGCCUUUAGUCUCCAGUGCAACUAUUUUCCAGAGCCACAAAUUUGGAGUCCUCAAAAGUACAAGGUGUGUUAGAUUCUCAAAGACAUUAAGGAAAUAUACGGAAGGUUGAAACACUUUUAAAAAUUUCCAAGCUGAAGUGUCAUGAAAUACAUGAAGAACAAUGCAUUAAAGGUUUAUGAACAAGUAACUCUUAAAAGACGAGUACCAGUCCAAGCUGCGUCCUUCUCUUCGGCAUUUCCUCACUUUUCAGUGUCAGUUAAAUCUCUUUUUUAUCCAUUUUAGGGCAGGAGUACAUUGUGCACAAUGUGGGGGAAAGAAGCAUGACAGAAAACUUCUUUACAUAUAUUUGCAUGAAUCUGUGGUGUGGCACAAGCUACUAGCAUGGAUGAAGCAUUCACUACAGGCUUCAGAGUGUACAACAAGCAGAAGAUCUUUGGAGAAUCAAACUAAAUUGAACAUUUGGAAAAGUGGAAGAUGGCAAACAAAGAGGAUGAGAUACAAUCUAAUGAACCAAUAUCGAAAAAGACACUGAGACAGGUCAGACGAAACAGCAUUAAUAGUGGAACACCAAACUGUGAGUAUUUAUGAUAAAACAGUUGUCUUUCAUCUGGUCUGGCAUCUGAAUGAGUGAAAUCAAUCUUGUACUCUCAUUUUAUCUGCUAUUUAAACUGUAUAUGAAGAUAAUUAUGUACUGUUUUCUUUUCUUUUUUUACACUGUUUGCGAUGUCUAGUUUUUCAUGAUGCAGACAGACCUGCAGAGAUUCAUUCCGAUCUUCAAGUCAAGUCAAGUCACCUUUAUCUCUAUAGCGCUGUAUACAAUGCAGAUUGUUUCAAAGCAGUUUCACAAGGAUAAAUAAGGAAAUGAUUCAGUGAUGCAAAUUUUACUGUAAAGCAGCUCUAAAAGAAAAAAAGUGCCAUUGUUUAGAUGAGGUUCAACUGUGUAAAAGUAAUCAAAUAUGAAAGCAGUUCAGUUCAGUUGAAAUUGUUAAGCAUCUUUGGAGAAAAUGGUGAUGUCAUUUGCUCAGAUCAGUUCUCAUCCAAUACUGUCUGUACUGUCAUUUCAAUAAUAUUUCAGAUGGAGUCACAGAUGAGGUGACAUAUUUACACAUCAUAUACAGAGAAUAAAUACUAUAAAGAACUGAUG
ensembl:lncRNA